rnacentral:rRNA from 1 species
GCAUGUCUAAGUAUAAGCAAUUAUACAGCGAAACUGCGAAUGGCUCAUUAUAUAAGUUAUCGUUUAUUUGAUAGUACCUUACUACUUGGAUAACCGUGGUAAUUCUAGAGCUAAUACAUGCUAAAAAUCCCGACUUCGGAAGGGAUGUAUUUAUUAGAUUAAAAACCAAUGCCCUCUGGGCUCCUUGGUGAUUCAUAAUAACUUUUCGAAUCGCAUGGCCUUGCGCCGGCGAUGGUUCAUUCAAAUUUCUUCCCUAUCAACUUUCGAUGUUUGGGUAUUGGCCAAACAUGGUCGCAACGGGUAACGGAGGGUUAGGGCUCGACCCCGGAGAAGGAGCCUGAGAAACGGCUACUACAUCCAAGGAAGGCAGCAGGCGCGCAAAUUACCCAAUCCCGAUUCGGGGAGGUAGUGACAAUAAAUACUGAUACAGGGCUCUUUUGGGUCUUGUAAUUGGAAUGAGUACAAUUUAAAUCCCUUAACGAGGAACAAUUGGAGGGCAAGUCUGGUGCCAGCAGCCGCGGUAAUUCCAGCUCCAAUAGCGUAUAUUAAAGUUGUUGUGGUUAAAAAGCUCGUAGUUGAACCUUGGGCCUGGCUGGCCGGUCCGCCUCACCGCGUGUACUGGUCCGGCCGGGCCUUUCCCUCUGUGGAACCUCAUGCCCUUCACUGGGUGUGGCGGGGAAACAGGACUUUUACUUUGAAAAAAUUAGAGUGCUCCAGGCAGGCCUAUGCUCGAAUACAUUAGCAUGGAAUAAUGAAAUAGGACGUGUGGUUCUAUUUUGUUGGUUUCUA